UGCCCAGUGCUCAGUCAAAGCCCAAGGU
rnacentral:piRNA from 1 species